CAGUCGCCGCGGGAAUACGGAGGAUCCAAGCGUUAUCCGGAUUUAUUGGGUUUAAAGGGUGCGUAGGUGGCCUGUUAAGUCAGGGGUGAAAGACGGUAGCUUAACUAUCGCAGUGCCCUUGAUACUGAUGGGCUUGAAUGAACUAGAGGUAGGCGGAAUGUGACAAGUAGCGGUGAAAUGCAUAGAUAUGUCACAGAACACCAAUUGCGAAGGCAGCUUACUAUGGUUUUAUUGACACUGAGGCACGAAAGCGUGGGGAUCAAACAGGAUUAGAUACCCGCGUAGUCCCUGUCUCUUAUAC
rnacentral:rRNA from 1 species